CCCAGACUGUCCCUGGCAAGGGAAACAGGCCAGCACCCAGGCUUCUGCAUAGGGAGGAGGCAUUCGCCAGCCAAGAGAGGUGUCCCCGCGGCGCUGGCCAAACGGUCACGUUGUGCCCUGUUUCCUAUGCCCUGGGUCCCCUUCUCUGCCUGCUCUGCACGUGGGGGGCGGCAGCACCCCGGGCACACCCCAGGCCCCCUGCUGACCCCGGGGCUCUGAGCACAGGUGAGGCCUGACCAGGGAAGCAGGGGUCGAGGGCUCAGGGGAGCAGAUGGCUGUGGCCCCGGGUCAGCCCUGGCAGCUCCUGCCUGGCACAUGGGAGGGGGAGCAGGCUGCCGGGGACCUGCCCAGCGCUGACCUCGACCUCGGGCAGAGGGGGCACAGCCAACAGGAUGUGUGGCAGGAGAGGCAGAACAAAGUGGAGGGGAAAAAGGCCAUUUCCUGACUCCUGACCUCAGGGCAGAAAACAGAAAUACAAGGAGACAAUCUCUCCUUCAAUCUUCCGUGAAAGGCCUAUGAUUUUUGUGAAAAUAUGGGCAUCCGGCAAGGAGAGGCAGAGAAAAAGGAUUAUCUGUGAAGGCCAAGAGAGGGCGGGAAUUUCUCCCCAUGGCAAAGGAAUAGACCUCAGCUGGACCCAUGGGUGGCAGGAGGCUGUCCGGGAACAGGACAGAGCUUCGCGGGGGACGGAAGGCAAUCACCAGAGAAACUAAACUGAAGUCAGUCAUGCUAUUGUCCAAAGCAUCUUGGAGAGACUUGAUAUAAGAAAUUGUCCAGUGGGGCAGCCCCGAUGGCCCAG